GCAGUCGAACGAACUCUGGUAUUGAUUGGUGCUUGCAUCAUGAUUUACAUUUGAGUGAGUGGCGAACUGGUGAGUAACACGUGGGAAACCUGCCCAGAAGCGGGGGAUAACACCUGGAAACAGAUGCUAAUACCGCAUAACAACUUGGACCGCAUGGUCCGAGCUUGAAAGAUGGCUUCGGCUAUCACUUUUGGAUGGUCCCGCGGCGUAUUAGCUAGAUGGUGGGGUAACGGCUCACCAUGGCAAUGAUACGUAGCCGACCUGAGAGGGUAAUCGGCCACAUUGGGACUGAGACACGGCCCAAACUCCUACGGGAGGCAGCAGUAGGGAAUCUUCCACAAUGGACGAAAGUCUGAUGGAGCAACGCCGCGUGAGUGAAGAAGGGUUUCGGCUCGUAAAACUCUGUUGUUAAAGAAGAACAUAUCUGAGAGUAACUGUUCAGGUAUUGACGGUAUUUAACCAGAAAGCCACGGCUAACUACGUGCCAGCAGCCGCGGUAAUACGUAGGUGGCAAGCGUUGUCCGGAUUUAUUGGGCGUAAAGCGAGCGCAGGCGGUUUUUUAAGUCUGAUGUGAAAGCCUUCGGCUCAACCGAAGAAGUGCAUCGGAAACUGGGAAACUUGAGUGCAGAAGAGGACAGUGGAACUCCAUGUGUAGCGGUGAAAUGCGUAGAUAUAUGGAAGAACACCAGUGGCGAAGGCGGCUGUCUGGUCUGUAACUGACGCUGAGGCUCGAAAGUAUGGGUAGCAAACAGGAUUAGAUACCCUGGUAGUCCAUACCGUAAACGAUGAAUGCUAAGUGUUGGAGGGUUUCCGCCCUUCAGUGCUGCAGCUAACGCAUUAAGCAUUCCGCCUGGGGAGUACGGCCGCAAGGCUGAAACUCAAAGGAAUUGACGGGGGCCCGCACAAGCGGUGGAGCAUGUGGUUUAAUUCGAAGCUACGCGAAGAACCUUACCAGGUCUUGACAUACUAUGCAAAUCUAAGAGAUUAGACGUUCCCUUCGGGGACAUGGAUACAGGUGGUGCAUGGUUGUCGUCAGCUCGUGUCGUGAGAUGUUGGGUUAAGUCCCGCAACGAGCGCAACCCUUAUUAUCAGUUGCCAGCAUUAAGUUGGGCACUCUGGUGAGACUGCCGGUGACAAACCGGAGGAAGGUGGGGAUGACGUCAAAUCAUCAUGCCCCUUAUGACCUGGGCUACACACGUGCUACAAUGGAUGGUACAACGAGUUGCGAACUCGCGAGAGUAAGCUAAUCUCUUAAAGCCAUUCUCAGUUCGGAUUGUAGGCUGCAACUCGCCUACAUGAAGUCGGAAUCGCUAGUAAUCGCGGAUCAGCAUGCCGCGGUGAAUACGUUCCCGGGCCUUGUACACACCGCCCGUCACACCAUGAGAGUUUGUAACACCCAAAGUCGGUGGGGUAACCUUUUAGA
rnacentral:rRNA from 2 species